rnacentral:rRNA from 1 species
UACGGGGGGGCAAGCGUUGUUCGGAAUUACUGGGCGUAAAGGGCUCGUAGGCGGCCAACUAAGUCGGACGUGAAAUCCCCAGGCUCAACCUGGGAACUGCGUCCGAUACUGGUUGGCUUGAAUUCGGGAGAGGGAUGCAGAAUUCCAGGUGUAGCGGUGAAAUGCGUAGAUAUCUGGAGGAAUACCGGUGGCGAAGGCGGCAUCCUGGACCGAGAUUGACACUGAUGAGCGAAAGCCAGGGGAGCAAACGGG